UCUUAAGACCAUACCAGCUUGUAUAAGCCUGAUCUCGUCUGAUCUCAGAAGCUCAGAGGGGCUGGGUCUUAUUAGUGCUUGGAUGGUGCCACAGUGGGACGUCAGGGGCAAAAA
rnacentral:rRNA from 1 species